GGGUCAGUAGGUUGGUCGUGCCACCGGUACGUACUGGUCUCACUGAUUCCUCCUUCCUGAAGAAACGUAAUGCCAUUAAUUUGGUGUUGCGGGGAAACAGGACUGUUACUUUGAAAAAAUUAGAGUGUUUAAAGCAAGCUAACGCUUGAAUACAUUAGCAUGGAAUAAUGAAAUAGGAGGAUCGAUCCUAUUUUGUUGGUUUCUAGGAUUGACGUA
rnacentral:rRNA from 1 species